CCAAAUAAGCUGCAACACGCAUUAACCAUCUCAGCGUCGCUUCCUCCUCAUCAAUCGUGUUCGAACGAGGCUUUGGUUCCAACAAGAAGAAGCAAUCACGUCACGAUAAUGCAUUUUUGCUCUUUAGAUUCUACGUUCAUCAAUCGUCACGGAUUCGCGUCUUCCUCGUAGCGGCCAUGGUUCACGUCGUUUCAGUAUAAGAAAGAAGAAAGAUCGAAUAAAACACAACAUUGUGCUUCGUCUUCACGACCUCAUAUUCAAAUCCAGACCUCGCGUUCGAAUCAAGGUAGCGCAACAUUGACGUCGCAGUUCAACGGUCCUUCACGGAUUCACGAUCUUCCUCAAUCAGCCAUGGUUUGCAUCUCAUCACGUUCAUUUAUCAUCAUCUCAACUUCGGGUGUUGUGGCGUCGUGGAGCAUCACGAUUUGGAUUCACCAACAUCUUCGCGUCAGCAUCGCAUCGUGGAUUCAAUCUCAACAUCAUUGCGUUUGCACGUCAAGGAUUCGGUUCAGGCAAAUCAAGUUUAACUAAACACGGAUGGAUGCAAGAAUGUGGACUUACGGACUUCGACGCGGAGACGAUGGCUUCACAGCUCAAUAUUGAAGAUGCAGGAUCGUUAGAAGUGAGGAAGUCAGAAGAUGAUGCAGGGUGGGGUUGAAGCUGCCAGGAAAAGAUUUAAUGGUGUUUAUGGUACUCUCAGUGAAGAUGGAGAACAAAGAGAGUGAAGGACUUUUAAGGUUUCAGUUGUGGAUUUCUCUGUUGAAAAACCGAUCCCUCUCUAAUCUACACCAGGUGAGUAUUUAUAGCAUGCUUCCCUCCGAAUAUAGUUAGAAAUUUAACCUAAAUGUCAGUGAAAUGAAUUCUAAAUUCCCCUUGAAAUUCACAAUGAGUCGGUUACAAAUUAGGAAUUAGUUAGAGUAAUGAAUUGUUAGCAGUUCUGUUAAAUUUUGUUAGAAAUUCAGGUCGAGAUGAAAAUGAAAAUUCCCUUGAAAUUCACUUGAAAUUAUCAAUUGGUUAGUAGUUAGUUACAAAUGCAAACAAGUUGUUAGUGCGAAAUUAAAUUGGAAUUCAAAAUGAAAUUGUAAUGAAAUGUCAAUGCUAUUUUGUGUGUUGAUCUAUUUUAAUGAAUUUGAAGUGUUAAAUGAAGUUUGAAUGGAAUGAAAGUGAAAUGCAUCUGUUCCAAUAGACACAAAAUUUGUUCUAUAAAGUUGAAAGGUGAUGAAGUUCUGAAAUGCAAUGUUGUUCGAAUGCCAAAUAAAAUUAAAAUGUAUGUGGAAUUAAAAUGCUAUCUUGAACUGCUUUAGUUUAUGCAGACUAUUGAAAUGCAAUGUGUUAAUCGAUUUGGACUGAGUUUUUAUCAAAUUUUGCAGGUUGGAUCUGUUAGGAACCUUUUGUUAGUUGUGAAGUGAGAGCUAGUUAGUUGUAAGUUUUGAACCAUUAGAUCAAGUUAACUUGUUAAUUGUAAUAGUUAGUGUUAAUAGGUUAGCUACUAGUGAUUUACUAAUUCACAGUGAAAGGUUAAUUGGUUUUAUCUAGUGGUUAGAAGAAUGAAGUUGAAAUGGUUUUGGUUAUGUUUAUUGGUUGAUGAAAAUUCUGCUAGUUGUUUGGAAAUGCCUUGCCGUUGUUGUAUUGUAUGCUGCAGGAAUGUUGUACCAGCUUGUGAAGAUAAGAAGCUAAUGUUAGUUCCUUGAAUGAAGUUCAUAUUUCCUUGUCCUGAAUUCAAAUUGGCACGUGGCUGCAUUGUAUUCAUUAUUCUACUGUGCAAUAAAUACACCAGAUAGAACUAUGAUGCACAUUUUGUUGAUGUUAUUGUUAUGAGUGAAUGAAAGGAUGUGCUAAUGUACUGUUUGAAUGGUUGUUUUGUUGGAUGUUGCUAAAUAUGCAAUGUUAGUAAGCACCUUGUUAUGUAUGAUUGAAUGCCAUUGGGACUGUUUGUGAUUACUUGUUACAUGCCAUUGGGACUGUUCGUGAUUACUUGUUACAUGCCAUGGUUGCUUUUGAAUGUAAUGUCAUGUACAUGGUUAUGGGCUUGUAUGAAUCUUAAUUGGGUUGUUGAUUUGUAUGAGGGCUGAUGUGCAUUGAAUCGAAGCUUCACCAUGGUCAUGGUUAAGAGCAAAAACAUGCUUGCUUGAAAUGGUAAACCACAUGAAUGGAAAAUGGAUGAAAUGGAGAAUGAAGCAUGAAGAGUGAAGAUUAUAAAGUUCAAGACUUUAGGAAACAUGUGUUGACUUUGGUCAAAGUUGACUAAAAAGUCAACUGUUGACCAAAGUCAACCUUUUGGGUUAAAAUGAUAUUUUUGUAUUAUUUUCUUUGUAUGCACUUGUAAACGGUAUAUUUGUAUAUAAAUUGAGACAAUGGCCUUUUAGUUAAAUAAAACCAAAGUUCAAAUA